rnacentral:tRNA from 1 species
GGUAAGGUGGCCGAGUGUUAGGUGGCGGAUUGUAAUUCUGCUUAUGGAGGUUAAGUCCUCUCCUUUCCA